rnacentral:misc_RNA from 1 species
GUAUGCUAGUGUGCAUGCUCACCUUGGACGGACUGGAAGCAGGAGGGAUGAUUUAGAAUCUCUGGCUUACACACUCAUUUUCCUUCUCCGAGCCAAGUUGCCGUGGCAGGGUUAUCAGGGUGAGAAUAAAGGUUUCCUUGUCUGUAAGAAAAAGAUGGCAACCUCUCCGGAAACUCUUUGCUUACUCUGCCCUGUUCCAUUCAGACACUUUGUGGAGUAUGUUGUGAACUUGAAAUUUGAUGAAGAGCCUAAUUAUGCUAAAUAUAUCUCCUUAUUUGAUGGGAUAGUAGGUCCAAAUCCAGACAAUAGGCCA